rnacentral:rRNA from 1 species
UACAGAGGGUGCAAGCGUUGCUCGGAUUUACUGGGCGUAAAGCGUACGCAGACGGACCGUCAAGUCGGGAGUGAAAGCCCUGGGCUCAACCCAGGAACGGCUUUCGAUACUAGCGGUCUUGAGUUUGGGAGAGGGAAGCGGAAUUCCUGGUGUAGAGGUGAAAUUCGUAGAUAUCAGGAGGAACACCGGCGGCGAAGGCGGCUUCCUGGCCCAAUACUGACGUUCAGGUACGAAAGCGUGGGUAGCAAACAGG